GUGAGGUAAUGGCUCACCAAGGCGACGACGGGUAGCCGGCCUGAGAGGGUGACCGGCCACACUGGGACUGAGACACGGCCCAGACUCCUACGGGAGGCAGCAGUGGGGAAUAUUGCACAAUGGACGAAAGCCUGAUGCAGCGACGCCGCGUGAGGGAUGACGGCCUUCGGGUUGUAAACCUCUUUCAGUAGGGAAGAAGCGAAAGUGACGGUACCUGCAGAAGAAGCGCCGGCUAACUACGUGCCAGCAGCCGCGGUAAUACGUAGGGCGCAAGCGUUGUCCGGAAUUAUUGGGCGUAAAGAGCUCGUAGGCGGUUUGUCGCGUCUGCUGUGAAAGCCCGAGGCUCAACCCCGGGUCUGCAGUGGGUACGGGCAGACUAGAGCGCAGUAGGGGAGACUGGAAUUCCUGGUGUAGCGGUGAAAUGCGCAGAUAUCAGGAGGAACACCGAUGGCGAAGGCAGGUCUCUGGGCUGUUACUGACGCUGAGGAGCGAAAGCAUGGGGAGCGAACAGGAUUAGAUACCCUGGUAGUCCAUGCCGUAAACGUUGGGCACUAGGUGUGGGGGACAUUCCACGUUCUCCGCGCCGUAGCUAACGCAUUAAGUU
rnacentral:rRNA from 1 species